rnacentral:rRNA from 1 species
UACGUAGGGGGCUAGCGUUGUCCGGAAUCAUUGGGCGUAAAGAGCGUGUAGGCGGCUCGGUAAGUCCGCUCUGAAAGCCCGGGGGCUCAACCCCGGGAGGCGGGCGGAUACUGUCGGGCUAGAGUCCGGAAGAGGCGAGUGGAAUUCCUGGUGUAGCGGUGAAAUGCGCAGAUAUCAGGAGGAACACCGGUGGCGAAGGCGGGUCUCUGGGCCGAUACUGACGCUGAGGAGCGAAAGCGUGGGGAGCGAACAGG